rnacentral:rRNA from 1 species
GUGACCACUAUUACUGGGCCUAAAGCGUUCGUAGCCGGAUUGUUAAGUUCCCUGGUAAAUCCGCCAGCUCAACUGUCGGAAUUCAGGGGAUACUGGCAAUCUUGGAGCCGGGAGAGGGUAGGGGUACUUCAGGGGUAGGGGUGAAAUCCACUGAUCCUUGAGGGACCACCUGUGGCGAAGGCGCCUAUCCAGAACGGACUCGACGGUGAGGGACGAAACCCUGGGGAGCAAACGGGAUUAGAUACCCCGGUAGUCCAGGGCGUAAACGAUGCCCGUUUGGUGUUGCGUGCUCUACGAGGGCAUGCAGUGCCGUAGCGUAGGUGUUUAACGGGCCGCCUGGGGAGUACGGUCGCAAGACUGAAACUUAAAGGAAUUGACGGGGGAGCACCACAAGGGGUGGAGCCUGCGGUUCAAUUGGAUUCAACGCCGGAAAUCUCACCAAGAUCGACAGCAGAAUGAUGGCCAGUCCAAAGGGCUUGCUUGACGCGCUGAGAGGCGGUGCAUGGCCGUCGUCAGCUAGUGCCGUGAGGUGUCCUGUUAAGUCAGGUAACUAGCGAGACCCGCGUCUCUUGUUGCUAGUCUGCCCUCCGGGGCAGGCGCACACUGGAGAGACCGCUGGUGAUAAACCAGAGGAAGGGGCGGGCAACGAUAGGUCAGUAUGCCCCGAAUUUCUUGGGCUACACGCGUGCUACAAUGCGCAUGACAGAGGGUCGCCACGCCGAAAGGCGGAGCCAAUCCCUAAACAUGCGCUCAGUUCAGAUCGAGGGCUGUAACUCGCCCUCGUGAAGCCGGAAUCCCCAGUAAUCGCGAGUCACUAUCUCGCGGUGAAAACGUCCCUGCUCCUUGUACACACCGCCCGUCAAGUCAUUCGAGUGGGCUCUGAGUGAGGACGUAUCCUCGUGGUAUGUUCGAACUUAGGGUUCGCAAGAAGGGCU